CACGGCAAAAGAAACAAUCCA
rnacentral:miRNA from 1 species